rfam:Ornithorhynchus anatinus chromosome 3, whole genome shotgun sequence.
UCCCUCUCAGGGUUGCACCUGGAGAGUUUCCAGUAAUCUACCAGUCUCGACUACGGGUGGGAGAGUCAAGCAGAGGCUUACCCAUUCCAUUCCUAGCUUGGGCAGUGGCUAGCAAGAGGAAGGCAAUCUGCUGCAAAU